UUUCCGUAGGUGAACCUGCGGAAGGAUCAUUAGAAAAUUCUCGCCAUAUUUAUGGCGUUAACAAUGUAUUCAAAAACAAAAAACUCGUUAAACCGAAAUAAAUUCAUUAAUAAAUAAAUAAUGAUAACUUUCAACAAUGGAUCUCUUGGCUCUC
rnacentral:misc_RNA from 1 species